GACGAACCGUGCGAACGUUGUUCGGAAUCACUGGGCUUAAAGGGUGCGUAGGCGGGUCACCAAGUCCGGGGUGAAAUCCUCCAGCUUAACUGGAGAAUAGCCUUGGAUACUGGUGGUCUCGAGGGAGGUAGGGGCAGCUGGAACUUCCGGUGGAGCGGUGAAAUGCGUUGAUAUCGGAAGGAACGCCGGUGGCGAAAGCGAGCUGCUGGACCUCUUCUGACGCUGAGGCACGAAAGCCAGGGGAGCAAACGGG
rnacentral:rRNA from 1 species